UGUGUUCUCACCAGAGAAAAUCAUAUUAAACUCUCAGGUCCUGCGUGUACUUGCCACUGCCACAUCCAUCUAUUACAAUGAUUACACCAAAAAGACUUAAAUACAAGUCUGUAUAAGGUGGCCAGGUUUCCCAGGUCCUCAGAAAACCAACAGCUUAAAAGAGACAAGAAGGGCUGAAUCCAUGAGUGCGAUAGCGAAGAAUGGUAUUUAACACCCAAUCCCCACCCCAAAGGUUGUUGCAUAUACUUCAGCCUUGUCUUUUGCACUGAUGUGCUGGACUUCCCAUCAUUGAGGACAA